UAUAGUACGUAUUGGUCAGCUUUUUUCUAUUGUUCGUGUACUUUAUUUAAACUGCCGCAUUGCAGAACUGGCAGACAGUGGCCACGUUUUCCCCAUGACAGGUAUGAGCAGCUAAGGUUUUGAGUAACCCUUUCUCCUAUUAGGGGUCCCUAUCCAGUUUCUGGCAGUCCAUCGCCGUGGUAAUACCUGUCCGCCACUGUCUCACGCCAUGCCAUAUCUACCCACUACUCUUCUACAUGCCUGUGACGAAGACUAUGGACAUCAGAAAACUUAAAUAUCUUAUUGUUUAUAAUAUGUAUAUUUGUUUGGUUUUAUUUUAUAUAAAAAUUGUAAAUAUAAAACGAAUUCUGUUGUGUUUGACUGAACAGUCACGACGGCUGUCGUGACAAAUGGUGUCAGAAGUGGGAUAGCUGUUCAGUCAACACAUUUUUUUUGUAGUUUAUUUUGAAUAUUGUUCUUAAGAAUUUAUACUUCUGUUAUAUUUUUCAGUGGAAUGGCAGAUUUUUUUUUUUUGUGGCGUUGAUAUAUGGAAGGGCCCCGAACGGAGAAAGGUUGCUCAGGUUGUGUAUAUGUAAUAACUCUCGAGUGUUGAGAGGUCAGGUAUAUUGAUACUAGAUGCAUUGUUUUUAUUUAAGCUUUUUCUUUUGUAAGAUUAUUUUGUUGAUCGUUGUGUUAAUUAGCGUAGUUAAGAUGGAGUCGCCAACACUACAGGAGCUAACAGAACACGGGAGAAAGAUGGAGUUGAAGGGGACAGACCUUCAGAAAUUCAUCUUGGAUCAGCAAACUCAUUAUCGGGAGUUGAGAGCUGCAGAGAGAUCUCAGGAGAAAGAGGAGAGAGAGUAUCAGCUGAAGAGAGAAGAACAGGUUUCGAAUUAUAUCUAUUAAGGGCUCAGAUAAUGUUGGAGCCGACUGUCUAAGUCGUUUGUAAAUAUAUUUUUGUAGAUUUUGCUUAUGUAUUUUUGAAUUUUAUUUUUGUGUUUUAAAAGUUCUUCGAACUUUUUUUUUGUUUGGGGAGGUGUUGUCACAAAUCAGUAUCUACUGGUAUUGUAUUUGUUUUCUUUACAUAUUUGUAUCCUGUAGGGACCCUCUUUAACGUUCCUGUGUAACUAGUUUUUUUUACCCGUAGUGUACCUCUCUGGACACGGUGUCAGCUAUAGUACGUAUUGGUCAGCUUUUUUCUAUUGUUCGUGUACUUUAUUUAAACUGCCGCAUUGCAGAACUGGCAGACAGUGGCCACGUUUUCCCCAUGACAGGUAUGAGCAGCUAAGGUUUUGAGUAACCCUUUCUCCUAUUAGGGGUCCCUAUCCAGUUUCUGGCAGUCCAUCGCCGUGGUAAUACCUGUCCGCCACUGUCUCACGCCAUGCCAUAUCUACCCACUACUCUUCUACAUGCCUGUGACGAAGACUAUGGACAUCAGAAAACUUAAAUAUCUUAUUGUUUAUAAUAUGUAUAUUUGUUUGGUUUUAUUUUAUAUAAAAAUUGUAAAUAUAAAACGAAUUCUGUUGUGUUUGACUGAACAGUCACGACGGCUGUC